rnacentral:misc_RNA from 1 species
GGAUCAUUACAGAGUACUUUCUUACUCAUAAACCACUGUGAACUUACCUAUCGUUGCUUCGGCUGGGCUGUCCCCCAGGCCUCUUCUGAGGCCCGGGGCGGCGUCAAGGCCCGCCGAGGGACCCUAAACUCUUGUAUCUCUGUGGAAAUUCUGAGAAACGAUUUAAAAUAAAUCAAAACCUUUGACAACGGAUCUCUUGGUUCUGGCAUCGAUGAAGAACGCAGCGAAAUGCGAUACGUAAUGUGAAUUGCAGAAUUCAGUGAAUCAUCGAAUCUUUGAACGCACAUUGCGCCUAUUAGUAUUCUAGUAGGCAUGCCUGUUCGAGCGUCAUUUCACCACUCAAGCUUCAUUGCUUGGAGUUGGGAUAUUACCUCCCCCCGGGGGGGUAAGUCCUCAAAUCUAGUGGCGAGGCCGGAUGUCCUCUAAGCGUAGUAAACUCAUUUUCUCGCUUUGGCUAGGCGUCUGGUUGCAGCCAGAAACCACUAUAUUUUUUUAAUGGUUGACCUCGGAUCAGGUAGGAAUACCCGCUGAACUUAAGCAUAUCAAUAAGCGGAGGAAAAGAAACCAACAGGGAUUGCCCUAGUAACGGCGAGUGAAGCGGCAACAGCUCAAAUUUGAAAUCUGGCGCUUGCGCCCGAGUUGUAAUUUGCAGAGGAUGCUUUUGGCGCGGUGCCUUCCGAGUUCCCUGGAACGGGACGCCAUAGAGGGUGAGAGCCCCGUACGGUUGGACACCAAGCCUCUGUAAAGCUCCUUCGACGAGUCGAGUAGUUUGGGAAUGCUGCUCUAAAUGGGAGGUAAAUUUCUUCUAAAGCUAAAUACCGGCCAGAGACCGAUAGCGCACAAGUAGAGUGAUCGAAAGAUGAAAAGCACUUUGAAAAGAGGGUUAAAUAGCACGUGAAAUUGUCAAAGGGGAAGGGUUUAUGACCAGACUUGUGCCUGGCGGAUCAUCCGGUGUUCUCACCGGUGCACUUCGCCUGGUAUAGGCCAGCAUCGGUUUCCGUAGGGGGAUAAAGGCUUUGGGAACGUAGCUCUCUCCGGGGAGUGUUAUAGCCCAUUGUGUAAUACCCUUGUGGGGACCGAGGACCGC